rnacentral:rRNA from 1 species
GAUGAACGCUGGCGGCGUGCCUAAUACAUGCAAGUCGAGCGAACAGACGAGGAGCUUGCUCCUCUGACGUUAGCGGCGGACGGGUGAGUAACACGUGGAUAACCUACCUAUAAGACUGGGAUAACUUCGGGAAACCGGAGCUAAUACCGGAUAAUAUAUUGAACCGCAUGGUUCAAUAGUGAAAGACGGUUUUGCUGUCACUUAUAGAUGGAUCCGCGCCGCAUUAGCUAGUUGGUAAGGUAACGGCUUACCAAGGCGACGAUGCGUAGCCGACCUGAGAGGGUGAUCGGCCACACUGGAACUGAGAAACGGUCCAGACUCCUACGGGAGGCAGCAGUAGGGAAUCUUCCGCAAUGGGCGAAAGCCUGACGGAGCAACGCCGCGUGAGUGAUGAAGGUCUUCGGAUCGUAAAACUCUGUUAUUAGGGAAGAACAAAUGUGUAAGUAACUAUGCACGUCUUGACGGUACCUAAUCAGAAAGCCGCGGCUAACUACGUG